rnacentral:rRNA from 1 species
GACGAACGCUGGCGGCGUGCUUAACACAUGCCAGUCGAACGCUGAAGCUCAGCUUUUGUUGGGUGGAUGAGUGGCGAACGGGUGAGUAACACGUGAGUAACCUGCCCCCUUCUUUGGGAUAACGCCCGGAAACGGGUGCUAAUACUGGAUAUUCACUGGUCUUCGCAUGGGGGUUGGUGGAAAGGGUUUUUCUGGUGGGGGAUGGGCUCGCGGCCUAUCAGCUUGUUGGUGGGGUGAUGGCCUACCAAGGCUUUGACGGGUAGCCGGCCUGAGAGGGUGACCGGUCACAUUGGGACUGAGAUACGGCCCAGACUCCUACGGGAGGCAGCAGUGGGGAAUAUUGCACAAUGGGCGCAAGCCUGAUGCAGCGACGCCGCGUGAGGGAUGGAGGCCUUCGGGUUGUGAACCUCUUUCGCUCAUGGUCAAGCCGCAACAAUGGUUGUGGUGAGGGUAGUGGGUAAAGAAGCGCCGGCCAACUACGUG